AUACGUAGGUGACAAGCGUUAUCCGGAUUUACUGGGCGUAAAGGGCGUGUAGGCGGUCUUGCAAGUCAGGAGUGAAAUCUAGGGGCUCAACCCCUAAACUGCUUUUGAAACUGUAUCCCUUGAGUAUCGGAGAGGCAGGCGGAAUUCCUAGUGUAGCGGUGAAAUGCGUAGAUAUUAGGAGGAACACCAGUGGCGAAGGCGGCCUGCUGGACGACAACUGACGCUGAGGCGCGAAAGCGUGGGGAGCAAACAGGAUUAGAUACCCUGGUAGUCCACGCUGUAAACGAUGAAUACUAGGUGUGGGGGGACUGACCCCCUCCGUGCCGCAGUUAACACAAUAAGUAUUCCACCUGGGGAGUACGAUCGCAGGAUUGAAACUCAAAUGAAUUGACGGGG
rnacentral:rRNA from 1 species